rnacentral:rRNA from 1 species
GGCCUAACACAUGCAAGUCGAGCGGAAACGAGUUAUCUGAACCUUCGGGGAACGAUAACGGCGUCGAGCGGCGGACGGGUGAGUAAUGCCUAGGAAAUUGCCCUGAUGUGGGGGAUAACCAUUGGAAACGAUGGCUAAUACCGCAUGAUGCCUACGGGCCAAAGAGGGGGACCUUCGGGCCUCUCGCGUCAGGAUAUGCCUAGGUGGGAUUAGCUAGUUGGUGAGGUAAGGGCUCACCAAGGCGACGAUCCCUAGCUGGUCUGAGAGGAUGAUCAGCCACACUGGAACUGAGACACGGUCCAGACUCCUACGGGAGGCAGCAGUGGGGAAUAUUGCACAAUGGGCGCAAGCCUGAUGCAGCCAUGCCGCGUGUGUGAAGAAGGCCUUCGGGUUGUAAAGCACUUUCAGUCGUGAGGAAGGUGGUGUAGUUAAUAGCUGCAUUAUUUGACGUUAGCGACAGAAGAAGCACCGGCUAACUCCGUGCCAGCAGCCGCGGUAAUACGGAGGGUGCGAGCGUUAAUCGGAAUUACUGGGCGUAAAGCGCAUGCAGGUGGUUUGUUAAGUCAGAUGUGAAAGCCCGGGGCUCAACCUCGGAAUAGCAUUUGAAACUGGCAGACUAGAGUACUGUAGAGGGGGGUAGAAUUUCAGGUGUAGCGGUGAAAUGCGUAGAGAUCUGAAGGAAUACCGGUGGCGAAGGCGGCCCCCUGGACAGAUACUGACACUCAGAUGCGAAAGCGUGGGGAGCAAACAGGAUUAGAUACCCUGGUAGUCCACGCCGUAAACGAUGUCUACUUGGAGGUUGUGGCCUUGAGCCGUGGCUUUCGGAGCUAACGCGUUAAGUAGACCGCCUGGGGAGUACGGUCGCAAGAUUAAAACUCAAAUGAAUUGACGGGGGCCCGCACAAGCGGUGGAGCAUGUGGUUUAAUUCGAUGCAACGCGAAGAACCUUACCUACUCUUGACAUCCAGAGAACUUUCCAGAGAUGGAUUGGUGCCUUCGGGAACUCUGAGACAGGUGCUGCAUGGCUGUCGUCAGCUCGUGUUGUGAAAUGUUGGGUUAAGUCCCGCAACGAGCGCAACCCUUAUCCUUGUUUGCCAGCGAGUAAUGUCGGGAACUCCAGGGAGACUGCCGGUGAUAAACCGGAGGAAGGUGGGGACGACGUCAAGUCAUCAUGGCCCUUACGAGUAGGGCUACACACGUGCUACAAUGGCGCAUACAGAGGGCGGCCAACUUGCGAAAGUGAGCGAAUCCCAAAAAGUGCGUCGUAGUCCGGAUUGGAGUCUGCAACUCGACUCCAUGAAGUCGGAAUCGCUAGUAAUCGUGGAUCAGAAUGCCACGGUGAAUACGUUCCCGGGCCUUGUACACACCGCCCGUCACACCAUGGGAGUGGGCUGCAAAAGAAGUAGGUAGUUUAACCUUCGGGGGGACGCUUACCACUUU